rnacentral:lncRNA from 1 species
UCAUCCUUUUGAUAUCUGAGAAUUUGUUUUUCAGAUUCUACAAAUCAAUUUCAAGAUGUAUAUUUCAAUAAGUGAAGAUUUUCAACCUAUUAUCUUAGCUUGUGCGCUGGCCAUGGCUAUUGGAAUGACAAUUUUCUUAUCUCUAUUAGGCAAAGGAGAUGGUACAUGAAGAAAAGAAUGCAUUCCAAGCAAGUUUGGAAUUCCAGUUCUUGGAGAGACUCUCUCUUUCCUUGGAGCCACCAACAGCACAAAAG